ensembl:snoRNA SNORD83 Small nucleolar RNA SNORD83
GCCACAUGAUGUGAAAUAGAUUGCAUUAGCACUACUGCAAAGAUGACCUUCUAUCUAUCACCCAAGACUGAUGGCA